rnacentral:rRNA from 1 species
UACGAAGGGGGCUAGCGUUGUUCGGAAUUACUGGGCGUAAAGCGCGUGUAGGUGGAUUGGUGUGUCAGAUGUGAAAUCCCUGGGCUCAACCCAGGAACUGCACCUGAAACUACCAGUCUUGAGUGGUGGAGAGGGAAGUGGAAUUCCUGGUGUAGAGGUGAAAUUCGUAGAUAUCAGGAGGAACACCAAUAGCGAAGGCAGCUCGCUGGGACGUUACUGACACUGAGGCGCGAAAGCGUGGGGAGCGAACAGG